CGUAGAUUGCACAAUGGGGAAAACAACAUACACAAAUAUGACCCACAGAUAAGUCUAUCCUCCCCCCACAACCUCGAGGUCACAACCUCUUUUUAAUGGCGUCUCCAUGGCUGUACCGGAUGUAGAUCCUGCUGUUGUUAAAGCAUCCUGCAAGAUGUAUUUUGAAACUAUUAGAAGGGGUUACAGGAUGGCCCAAGAUGAAAACAAAGACAAGAUGGAGGACAGCAGGAUCACUGCGCACAUGAGAUAAAG